GUGGGAGAUAAAGUUGUUUUUUUUCCUGUGUCCAAGUUGGGGCUAUGCAAAUCAAUGUACAGAAAGUUGUUGCUGAAGAAGAUUUUAAUUAUCCUGGUUGUUGUUUGAGACAUGUGAGCACUAAAAAUGCACCUCAUUUUACCAGCAUACAAAUUUUACCUCUCAUCUUAAUUUUGUAGGUGAUCUUGAAAACUAGAACAAUUUAAGCAGGACUGUCCAAGUAAAGGCUGCCAGGUGGGCAUGUUAUAUUUUCGGGUGUGCCCCAUCACUGCACGACUGCGGAGGGGGCUGCUCAUUGAGGACAAGCGUGGCAGUGCUGUGGUUUGGCUUGAACUAGACUGGAGGCAGGUUUGUCUUCUAAACCCGCCGGGGUUGUUGCUUCCCCCAACGUCCAUUCAUCUGUGUAAAUCCAGGAAAAGAAGUUUUGUGACUGGGAAAUCGUAGCAUCUCAAAGAGUUAGACUUGCUGUGUUUACAAUGAUUAACAGUAGCACUUCAGUAUCUGAUGUUACCUUUUUUAACCACUGUUGCAAGUAGGUUAGUGGGUCAUGAUAGCUGUCCCGAAAAUAUACAAGGUUUAUACUCUACACUGAUACCUCGUGUAGCACCAUACCAGAUGAGAUCUAGGAAUAUACCAUGGACGAUUUGUUGGAUUAACAGUAAAUAGAGUCCUACAGGGCUAAAUGGAAAGCUGCUCAGCUUAAGCCAAAGCCAUGAAGCAUUAAGACUGAAUGGGGGUUAUUUUGAGAUCAUCUGAUUUCCUACUAGAAGGUGCUGUGAGAUAUCAUCGCCUUGAAAACCUUCAAAGAGAAUGGUCUGAAAGGUUUUUUUUUUGGCGGUGGCAUGUUCCAGAACUUGGAUCAGUUUUACAUUUUCAUUUAGCAUGAGAGAGUUUUUUUUUUUUUAAAUUUGUGUGUCUGUAUAAAAAUAAACUUCCAUCGGAGGACUUCAAUGUGCUUUCAGAUCUAGGUAUAUGUAUGAACACUGCUGUUUGCACCAAUGAACUGAAAGUAAGGGGAGGGAGAAACUUUAGUCGAGGAUAAUUGGGUCUUGUCAAGGUACCAUCGCAGAUGGGGCAGAUGAUCCCAAAGACGGGCGCAGAGUAAAGUGGAGGGGUUUUGGUUUAAUUGCUUCGCAAGCAGGAAGAGCUAAGGCAUCUCUGCCUUGUGCCUUUUGAGCAUGAUCCUCUGGUUUAGCAAGAACUCUCCAGUGCGUUGCGAAUGAAACGAAACCGAAGACACUGUCCCAUUGCUAACGGGCAGAGAAGGCCGAGCCGGGACGUGCAGGGGCCGCGUGUCUCGCUCACGGCAGCAAAGGCAGCUGCUAGAAACCUCAGGCGAAAUCCCAGAGCCAUUAAAGUCGGUAGGAAUUUUACCACUGCUUUCAGCAGGGCCGCACUUUCACCCCCUCAAAUGAACACAGCUUUUAAACAGAAGUGUAACAUUAAUCAGGCGUUUAAGACCCACUCUUUUAAUCAAAGCCCUUAGUCGUGUGUUUAAGCACUUGCUGGACUGGGGUCAGAGUAAGUAUGGUAUUUUUCAGAGACGGUGCAUUUCUGAUGGUGACAAUACCUAUCUGUUACGUGUGAAAACUACAUGAGCUCGGUGGGAAAAUGAACACGGUGAAGGUUUGUUUUAGGGUUUCCAGGCCACAAUCAGGUGUUUUAUGCCUGGAGAAUCUCAGGGCAUUUUUACACGUGGUUCUAAUGCAGCGCCUGGUGCUUUUAAUUAGCAAGCCAGACUAAUUAAAAGUACCCGGCACUGCGUAUGGAGCAGGUAUAUCAGUGGUGCAGUGCGCAUCCGUGCUGAGAAAAUGGCAGUGGUAUGCUUUGAACUAAAGCACAUAAACGUGUUUUAGUUCAAAGUGCACCGCUGCCAUUUUCUCAGCGCUGAUGCACGUGAUGCGUAAGGCUGCCGGCGUGCUUCAGUUUACACGCUCAAACAGACUUGAUUAAUCAUGUGUGCUCUGACACGCUGGAUUUUCAGCACAUCAGAGCAGACUCCCCGCAUGUGUGUAAGUGCCUGUAUUGACUAUAACAGGAUGGAUUGGCCUCUAUAGUGAAGAUUAAGGGAAAGUACAGUAGCAAGUCCUGUCCAUUUAUUUAUGGCAGUGCGAUCUCCAAGAUGAUGUUUUCUCCAUAUAACCAUAUUUCUUUAGAAACAGCUUUCCUUUAAAAACCCAUUAGAAGCUGAAUAAGUAGGUUUGAUCCACCUGUGUCUUAGAAAUAUAGACAGCCUGCUGAGCCUUGUAAAGGAACAGCAGUCAAAGGUAUAGCCUGGUAAUUUUGAGAAGUAUAUCCAGAGUUCAAAACAUUCAGCAGAAGUUUAAACAAAUUGGGGAUAAAAAUGAUCUACUAUCCCUUUUUUUGCCAGUGCAAGAUUAUCCUAUGCUGUAUGUAUUAGAAGCCUUUGUUUAAUCCGGUUUUAAUCCAGCACUGGGUUUCUUCAACUCUAUUUUCUGUGGUCUGGUCUCCAAGACAGGAGACAGGGCUGGGUGGUACCUCAGAGGCUGACUGGUUCAAAAAGGCAUGAGCUUUCAUGGGCAACAACCUACUCUGACGUAGGAGUUCUCACUUGAUAUCAAGACUCAGUUUGUAUUUCCAUGACUACAUCCCAUUUCACCUUGUACCAAAAGAAAUAAUGCCUUGCCUUUGUCUUUGAAUAUGGCUUUCAAGAGUAAUAAUCAUAGUCGCCCCAGUUCCCACAUUUAGUGUAGACUUAAUGAAGUUGUAUCUAAGCCCCGAUCCUGCAGAUGCCCUUGCACGCAAGCUUCUACACACAUUGUCUCAUUGAGCUCUUGGAUAGGGCUAAAUUGUGUUACCUAAUGGCUCUUGUGAAAGAUGCAUAUAUUUUGGUUUGACACAAGUGCUGGUGAGUCUAGAAAUGCCCCAAGCCAAAGGGAGGAGGAAUGCAUUGAAUCUCAGUUCCUAGCACUGUAGCAGAGUGCUUUAACUCUCAAUCCUGAACUUUUAAAAUGAAAAGCUGUUGUUGAUUCCUAUUCAGUUUGUAAAAUCAUUACUCCUUCCUCCCCAAUAAAUCUAUA